CGAUGUGCUCCUGGGAUGGAUCCCGAGGGAACGAUGGCAACCCGGCAUCCUGCUGAGCCACUGUCCCUCUAGGGUACCGCUGCGCACACGCGGCACUUGGGGGCGCGGUUUAGCGGCGGCUUGGCAGGGCUGGGUUGGCGAUUGGACUCGGUCUCGGAGGGAUUUUCCAGCCGUAACGAUUCCAUGAUCCCUUCUGCAAAACCUAAAGGUUUGGGACGAACUCUAAAUGCAGGACAUCAGCAAGGGAAUAACCCUGGCUGUAUCCAGUCCUUCCCCAUCCCUGGAGUUUUCCUGGACGGGUAGCUCCUCAGGAGAGGUGCUGGCCACCAGGAACGUGGCUUUUCCCAAGCCUCUGUGAAGCUGCGGGGCCGAUAAGAGGCCCCUCCCCGGCCGCCAGGGGAGCAGAACGAACGGGCUGUGCCUGCCCGGCUGAUAAAGAGGAACAGCUCCAAUUAACCACCAGCAAUUCCCUCUGUUUGUAUUGGAACACGGCGUCCUGAGCACGGGCUGUCCUCGGCUCGGAGCACCUCAAACCAGACCCAGGGCUUUAAACCACGAGGGAGAUGGCUGAGGAAUGCUCAGGAAAAAGCUGAUUUCUGGAGUAGCUGGAAGCAUGUGGCAUCUCCCAGGAUCGGCCCCAGACACUUCUGUCUCUAAUUUUUGUCCAGACAGCUGAUAUUUCAGAGCUCUUCCCAUCCUCCAAGCCCUCUGCAAGUGUUAAGUAUUUUUUGCAUCCAGCAAAUGGAACAAUAACGGAGGACUUAAUUUUCCCAUCUGUCAACUCGUCCUGAACAAAUUGUACGUCUUUCUCUUCGGAGUGAAAUCUCAGCUAAAUUAAAAGCUUUGGUGUUCAUUUUCAUGUA